rnacentral:rRNA from 1 species
AGAAUCAACGCUGGCGGCGUGCCUAACACAUGCAAGUCGAACGAGAAAGUGGAGCAAUCCAUGAGUAAAGUGGCGACCGGGUGAGUAACACGUGACUAACCUACCUUCGAGUGGGGGAUAACCUACGGGAAACCGAGGCUAAUACCGCAUAACAUCGUGAGAUCAAAGCAGUAAUGCGCUGGAAGAGGGGGUCGCGGCUGAUUAGCUAGUUGGCGGGGUAAUGGCCCACCGAAGGCGAAGAUCGGUA